rnacentral:misc_RNA from 1 species
GAUGAAGAACGUAGCGAAAUGCGAUAAGUAAUGUGAAUUGCAGAAUUCAGUGAAUCAUCGAAUCUUUGAACGCACAUUGCGCCCGCCAGUAUUCUGGCGGGCAUGCCUGUUCGAGCGUCAUUACAACCCUCAGACCCCCGGGCCUGGCGUUGGGGAUCGGCGGAGCCCCCCGUGGGCACACGCCGUCCCCCAAAUGCAGUGGCGGUCCCGCCGCAGCUUCCAUCGCGUAGUAGCUAACACCUCGCGACUGGAGAGCGGCGCGGCCACGCCGUAAAACAACCAACUCUUCUGAAGUUGACCUCGAAUCAGGUAGGAAUACCCGCUGAACUUAAGCAUAUCAAUAAGCGGAGGA